GGAUCAAUUUGAUGGUCGUGCCUCUGUUACGUACUGGUAUUAUUGGUUUCUCCCUUCUGACGAACCAUGAUGUCAUUAAUUUGGUGUUGUGGGGAAUCAGGACUGUUACUUUGAAAAAAUUAGAGUGUUUAAAGCAGGCUCACGCUUGAAUACAUUAGCAGGGAAUAAUGAAAUAGGACGUUUGAUUCUAUUUUGUUGGUUUCUAGGAUCGACGUA
rnacentral:rRNA from 1 species